rnacentral:rRNA from 1 species
GCCCAAGAGAUCGGGAUAACACCUGGAAACAGAUGCUAAUACCGGAUAACAACAGAUGAUGCCUAUCAACUGCUUAAAAGAUGGUUCUGCUAUCACUCUUGGAUGGACCUGCGGUGCAUUAGCUAGUUGGUAGGGUAACGGCCUACCAAGGCGAUGAUGCAUAGCCGAGUUGAGAGACUGAUCGGCCACAUUGGGACUGAGACACGGCCCAAACUCCUACGGGAGGCAGCAGCC